CCAGGAGCUUCUGCAGGCUCUGGAGAAAGAGGAGAAGAGGAACCCGCAGGUAGGCCAACCCUUCCUGCUAUCUGGACUGCGGGAGCAGGGGCCGCUUGGCUGGAAUUGAGCACAGAGGCUGGAUUACAUCUUUCAAGUUUCUCAGCUUGAAGUGGUGGUCCAAACCAGCCCUCGUCACUCCCCACACCACGUGGUUAGGUGGGUAGACCCCGCAGCCCUGUGUGACGAGCUUCUGCUUCCACUGGAGAACCCGUGUCAGGGCAGGGCCCGCUUGCUGCUCACAGGCC
rnacentral:sRNA from 1 species